CCAGAAGGCCAGGCGGUCGCGGGUCGGGGAUUUCCUGGCCUGAGGAAAGUCCGGGCUCCAGCGGGGCAGGGUGCCGGGUAACACCCGGACGGGGCGACCCGUGGACAGGGCCACAGAAAACAGACCGCCGAUCCGCCCGGGGGAACCCCGGGGUCAUAGAGGCAAGGGUGAAAAGGUGGGGUAAGAGCCCACCGGCCGGGCGGCAACGCUCCGGCGCAAGGCAACCCCCACCCGGAGCAAGGCCAAGCAGCGGGCGCGGCGCCCUUCGGGGCGCCGGGGCUGCCCCGCGCCCAAUGCCCGCGGGUAGGCCGCUUGAGGCGGCGGGUAACCGCCGUCCCAGAGAGAUGACCGCCACCCCGUGGCUCCCCACGGGGGACAGAACCCGGCUUACAGGCCCUCUGGCGCG
rnacentral:RNase_P_RNA from 1 species